rnacentral:tRNA from 1 species
UGGCCUAAAGGGCAAGGCGUCUGACUUCGGAUCAGAAGAUUGAGGGUUCAAGUCCCUUC